rnacentral:rRNA from 1 species
GAGUUUGAUCUUGGCUCAGGAUGAACGCUAGCGACAGGCUUAACACAUGCAAGUCGAGGGGCAGCGGUGGUGAAGGCUUGCCUUUACCAGCCGGCGACCGGCGCACGGGUGAGUAACACGUAUGCAACCUGCCUGCCACAGCCGGAUAAUCGGGAGAAAUUCCGUCUAAUACGGCAUAAUGCAUCGACGGGACAUCCUGUUGGUGCCAAAGGUUGAUUCCGGUGGCGGAUGGGCAUGCGUCGCAUUAGUUAGUUGGCGGUGUAACGGACCACCAAGACGACGAUGCGUAGGGGUUCUGAGAGGAAGGUCCCCCACACUGGUACUGAGACACGGACCAGACUCCUACGGGAGGCAGCAGUGAGGAAUAUUGGUCAAUGGGCGGGAGCCUGAACCAGCCAAGUCGCGUGAGGGAUGACGGCCCUAUGGGUUGUAAACCUCUUUUGCCGGGGUAGCAAAGUGCCGCACGUGUGCGGUUUGGAGAGUACCCGGAGAAAAGCAUCGGCUAACUCCGUGCC